ensembl:misc_RNA
UGGACAGCACUAGAAAAUGAAGACUUCUGUUUGUCCACAGCACAGGAGGAGAGGCACCGCAAGCCUCCCUGCUUUGCCACGUCAGCUCUCUCCAGCCCUGUUUUAGCAGGACCACAUAAGGAGCAGGAGGGCAUCCAUACCCCUUCAUACCUUGGCAAAG